ensembl:lncRNA
CCACUCACCGAAAGUGUUACCGAACCUGAAGUGAGUUUGCUCACCUGUUGCGCAGCAAGCCAAUCUCUGACACUGGGUGUGGUGGAAGAAAGUAGGAAUUUUAUUUUUGCACAGCGCUGAGCAAGGAGAGAGGGCAGCUAACGCUCAAAUCCCAAACUCCCCGAAAAGCUAAAAGGAAGGGUUUUUAUUUGGGGUUUUAGGGAGGGGAGGGGGAGCGUAUGGCCUUGCUGGUCGGAGCUUUCCCACCAGCCUGUCUUUGGUCUUGAGACUACUUGCAGAGAGAGGGAACUCAUGACCUUGCUGGUCAGCAGCUUUCCCACCAGCCCAUAUCUCUUUGCGGGAGGAGAUAGUCCAGGUGCUUGUCCUUGAUGGUGUCUGUCUCCAUGGAGGAUAGUGGAUUCUGGAGCCAGGAAGCCAGAGAUUUUCAUACAGGCUCGGGGUUUUAAAACUUUGAAAUCAAGGACGUCUGCAGUCUACCUCUGAAAGAUUAGCAGAAACACAGCAUAUAGCACCAUCAUUCGUGAAGAUUCUCUAAGAUGAACCCAUCUGAUUCUCUUUGUUCUGCUGCUAUUUGGCAUUUACGGACUCUUAAAAAACCCAUUUUUAUCUGUUCGCUUCCGGACAACAACAGGGCUUGAUUCUGCAGUUGAUCCUGUCCAGAUGAAAAAUGUCACCUUUGAACAUGUUAAAGGAUUGAAGUAGCUGUGAACCCUGCUGGGAUUGUGAAAAGGGAGCAGUAGAGGAAGAGGCUGGUGCAGUGACUAUUUGAAAGCUAGACACAUCAGUGCGGAGGGCCCUUCUCGUUCUGUCUGAGGGCUGCAGUCAGAGAGCCUGCUUACGUUGAGCUUGCACUAAGGCCGUGGUCAGCGAGGCGUCCUUACUCUCUCCCUGCGGUGUAUGUACUUCAUUACUCAGUACACCACAUUUCUUUUCGGAUGAGGCCAUUUGGAGUGCAAAAUUAGAGAAGAUGUGUUGACACCCAAACGUUAGGAAACGGGGACAUCACAAGGUGGAUCCUCACACAGUUUCCCGUGAUAAUAUGAAUAAAUGUUAUAAUUGCUGUAAAAUCUAAGUUUAUGUGGAGCAAAGUAUUUCAGUAGCAUUUACCAUAAUAGUAUGCCGUCUUUCACCAGGUCUUAAAGAGCUUGUGUAAGAAUGUUAUUUCCUUGCCCAGAAUUCCUGAACAUGUAGGGUUACUUGUAUAUGGAGCCACUGUGGAAACAUUCAUAAGGGCGUUGAUAACUUCACUCACUGCCUUGAUCCUCGUAACCCUACUCUCCUCCAUAGGUUUUAUAUUCCUUAACUGGGAAUUCUCUUGCCACAGAGGUUGGGAAGAGAAAAUGUAUUUUGAAUGGUCGAUGAUGUUUAAUUUCUUUCCUGUUUUCGUCCAAUUUUAAGUUAUCCAUUACCUUGACCAAAUGUAUGUUGGUUUUCUUUUAGUGUAUGGAUCUCUUCAAAUAUUAAAAAAAUUUUUUUGAUAAUCUGUUCAACUCUUUUUUUACACAUAAAUUUUACUGAAGCUUAACAGUCACACAAAAAUGCACACAUCGUAAAUGUACACCUCAAUAAAUUUUCGCACACGGCUUUGAACACAUCUAUGUUGUCAGCACCCAGCUCAGGAAACAGAACGCCAGGGCCUGCCUAGUGCCUCUUUCCAGUCACCAUCUCUCCCCACCCCAAGGGUGAGCACUGUCCUGUCUAAUACCGUAGGUUAGUUUGGGCGGUUUUUGAAUUUUAUAUAAAUGUGACGCAUGUAGUAUGUACGAUUUCUUUCGUCAACGUAUUUGUGAGAUCCAUCCGUGUUGUUACAUGGAGCGGUAGUUCAUUCAUCCUCAUUGCAUAGUGUUCUAUUCCACGAACACCACGAUACUGUGUGUUUAUUCCACAUUAGGUAGACAUGUGGUUGUGUCUAGUUUUAGCUAAAAUGGUCCUGCUGUGAAUGUUGUUGUACAGAUCUCUUGGUGAGCGUAUGAACACACUUCUCUUGUGCCUGGGAGUGGACAAAGCUUUGCUUUUAACCAUUAACUUUAUAAACAUUUUUAGUAAAUUUUAAUAAUUUAAUCAGAAUAACUUUAAAGACCAUUUCAAGACUAAAAAAACACCUACUUACUCUGUAUCACUUGUAUAUUUCCUGGAAAUAGUCCUGGGAAAUUUUCUAGAAAUCUAAGAUAGUCACGAGUUUAAUUUUAGAUUAUCAGAAUGCCCUUUGGCCCAGAGAUCUGUUUCAUGUUUUACUACACUCCUUCCCAGGUAGUUUUUUUAACCCUGCCCGAUGUACUUCAGGUCAUUUUUGUCACUUAGAGCUAUUUAAAGUUGUCUAUUGUGAGGUUGCACAUUGACUGCCAGUGAGCUAAGUGGAUUAACAAAUGUAUUAUUGGCCUAAUGUAACUUAA